rnacentral:rRNA from 1 species
GACGAGCCACACAAACGUUAUUCGGAAUUACUGGGCUUAAAGGGUGCGUAGGCGGCGUGGAAAGUUGGGUGUGAAAGCCCUCGGCUCAACCGAGGAAUUGCGCCCAAAACUUCCAUGCUUGAGGAAGAUAGAGGUGAGCGGAACUCAGGGUGGAGCGGUGAAAUGCGUUGAUAUCCUGAGGAACACCGGUGGCGAAAGCGGCUCACUGGAUCUUUUCUGACGCUGAGGCACGAAAGCUAGGGUAGCGAACGGG